rnacentral:lncRNA from 1 species
UCGGGGAGCCGGGGGAAGGGUAGUAUUAUGGCCACUACUUUCACCGGUUUUACUUUUUCUAUUACCGAACAUUUUUUUGAAAGAAAAUGCCAUACUAAUAUAAUUAUGCAAACUAAACAACACAAAAAUAUAUUAUUAAAACGUAAGAGUUGAAACGAGUUCGUUGAACACUUGAAAACUUCAAUUCAACAACUUCACAACUUUUAACGAAUUUUUAACAAUAAAUUAAGCAAUUGUAGUAGAAAGAUUGAAAAAGAGAUUGAGAGAUAUUG